CUCAAUCCCAAUCGACUAGGUGUAUUAUGUCGAUUAUUUUGAGUAAUAUAUCUGGAAAUGCCCAUUGAUUUCUUAUUAACAUGAUUUCGAACACAACUGGUGUUGGGUUUUUUGGCUCAAAAUUAGGAUGAUGCAAUAAAUUAGGUUUGUGUUACCUAUUUGGUUUUGGUGUCCUAUUUGGGUUUGGUUUUGACUUCUUAGUUAGUUUCCUUGGUGGAGAGAUUUUGUUAAUUACCUAUUUGCUUAGGAUUUGGAUUUAUUUCCUAUUAGGAUUCCUAUUGUAACCUAAGUCAUAUGCACUAUAAAUAGAACCUUAGGGUUAGUGUAUUUAGUGUGGCUCAUUCGUGUGACAAUUUGGUGAGAGUCAAUUUGUGAGUUAGAGAGCAAUUUGGGAGAAUCUUCUCCGUUAGGUUUGGGUUCUCUACUCGUUUGGUUUAAGGUUUGUAAUUUGUGGGAUUUGGGUUGUGAGAGUUUAAACACUCUUUUGUAAUCUCCGUUUGUUUAGUGAAAUUCCUCGUCGUGCUUCGCCCGUGGAGUAGGCUUUACGCCGAACCACGUAAAUCUCUUGUGUCAGUUUGAGAUUGUUUGUUUUAGCUUUCACCUACGACGUUGAUAUUUGGUACUUUGUUAUAAUUCGCUUCUGUUUGCGCAUAAAAGUACAACAACUAGUACAUUCCAAAAUAACCGCUACUCGGACAUCUUUACCCUUAGCCAUGAACCUCCUUUGGUUUUUGAUUCACUCAAUUCUUUAAUUUUCCAACCCGAAGCAAGGAAGAAGAAAGGACACAAAAAAUAGAAGCAGGUAACUCGAAAUUGAUUAUGAAAGAAAUAUUUUGUUGCAAUCAAUAUCCAUUAGGUUCCUUGUUUUUACUUUUAUUUUACUACCAUGACAAAACAACCAUAAAGUUAUUUUACAAUGUGCAUUGUAUUAGGGUGCUCAUGUAACGGUGCUCUCGGCAAAGAGGCGGGAAAAUUAAUCACUAUCCAUGACGAGGAGAACCUUCGAUAUGCGGUCUCAUUCAGAGGGAAAUUGCCGAAGGUGUACGUAGCACAGGUUGUCCAAAUGCUUGACCGUGAAGAGAACAGUUCUAAUACUUUUGACGCAUGCUUGCCCAAAUGCAAGUACUAUCCUUUAAUUUACGUCCCUUCACGUGAUAAGAGAGAGAGUAUCGCAAACACGAGUAUCUCCCUAUCACGCGAGAAAAGAGAGAGAGUUUCAUAAACUCGUUGCACGUGAGUUUCUCACCUUAGUUAGGGACCCUUGAGGGUACAGACAGGCAUGCAUGACCAAGCUAAAAGCAUGUAGCGUAUAACACCUCAUUUGGAUUGUUCCAGUGGAAUUCGGUGGUUUUGGUUUGGAAUAAGAUGGAAGUUUGAAUUUUGUAGAGGAAAUUAAAUGCGUGUACUCCACAUUGUGCAUGGUAGGCAAGGCAUGGAGCUAAGCCCCGGUUUAGGCCUAUAUAACUUUGACCCAACUUUGUCUCCAAAUUCAAAAACGCUACCAAUCUCAGGAAGAAAACGGUGUCAUAAACUCGUAGGCAUUGUCAGAUGAGUCGGUGUUUUUGAUACAAUGAUAUAUUGGUUGUGAACUUGUCAUUCUCGAGAGAUUUGAACAUAAGAUAUUUUG
rnacentral:lncRNA from 1 species